rnacentral:rRNA from 3 species
CGGACCUCAGAUCAGACAAGACUACC